AUAAAGUAAACAAAUACAAAUGACUGCUGUGGAAACCGUAACAAAUUUUAUACUUGCCUUUGGCUUUUAAGCCGUAGUUAUAUAAUUGAGCUCAUAAGCAUGCAAAUAAGUGAAACAAACAACAAAAUGAAUAAUAAUUGUGGUAAAGGCAGCUUUAAUGGCAAAAGCGAACCACUUUAUUAUGGACUUCACAAAAGCGGAAACAGGAAGAUUUGUUUCAGUGCGGAAAAGUUUUGAUACAAUUGACCCUACCUUGAUGAUGAAAGUGCUUAAAACAUUGAUAACUCACCAAAGACUUUAAAAAGCCCUCAGCAAGAGAGUGUUUCUUCCUCUUUAGAUGGGAAUAAAAGGGAUUCCUCUCUGUUUCAUACAGUGGGAAAAAUUCUUUACCCAAAGCGUGAUACUUCAAAUAAGUCAAAUCACAACGUACUUCCUACUUGUCUAAAAAUGUUUGAGAAGGAUCCUUUCAUUUAUAAUCCUGAAAUAAACAAUUCAGAAAUAAAUACUCAAUUCAAAUCUAAACUGCUUUCAAGUCUAAGCCACACUCCAAGUUCUUAACACGUUUUGUUUCACGCAAAAAAUAGUGUAAAAGGUUUUAUUGAUAUCAGACAUAGACUUCAGGAAUUGAAACCAGGAUAGCCUGGUUGGUAUGGCACUGCACUCAAUUUCGUGAGAAUGGGAGUCCGAAUCCAGCCUGCCGAAGACUUUCUGUAUUGUAAAUGGUGACUGGUGCUGGUUAAAUCUGCCAGGUCACAAAGUCUUCCAUGUCCGAAUAACAAAUUAUACUUCUGGGGUUUUGGAAAGGAGAUUGAUCAUUCUAUGAUUCUGGUCAAAAUUUAAUUACGACAUGACACAGAAGACUGCACAAGAAUGCAUUACACAUUUUUAAUUCUUAGUAAUGAAGAGUAACUUAAAUUCCACCAUCCUUUUUACCAUAGAAUACGCUGUGGGAUUUAUUUUUAGACUAUGUCAACCGUCAUCUAUCAAAAGGUACCUCAUGAUAAGAGUCAAGUUAACAUGUCUUACACAAUAGUGAAUUGGUAUUUAAUAUUUAUAGUGGUAGUUAUGCCACAACGUCUCAUUUAAGAAAUGAUGGUUCUUUUGUACUUUCAUGUGGAAUUCAAUAUGCUCUAUGUUCAUUUGCACUAAUGUCAAAAGAAUAGGUGGACUUCCAUGAAACUUUUGCUAUCCAUUGAAUUUUUGCCUAUGUAAAAAAAAUUGUUUGAAAGAGCAAAAAUAUU